rnacentral:tRNA from 1 species
GAGGCAGGAGUAUUCGGAGUCAAGCUUCUAACUUAGGCCCUAAGCAAUGGAAUUUUGUUUAUGCCUCU